CAGUAGCCACGGGAAUACGAAGGGGGCUAGCGUUGUUCGGAAUUACUGGGCGUAAAGCGCACGUAGGCGGAUAUUUAAGUCAGGGGUGAAAUCUCAGAGCUCAACUCUGGAACUGCCUUUGAUACUGGGUAUCUUGAGUAUGGAAGAGGUGAGUGGAAUUCCGAGUGUAGAGGUGAAAUUCGUAGAUAUUCGGAGGAACACCAGUGGCGAAGGCGGCUCACUGGUCCAUUACUGACGCUGAGGUGCGAAAGCGUGGGGAGCAAACAGGAUUAGAUACCCGAGUAGUCCCUGUCUCUUAUAC
rnacentral:rRNA from 1 species